rnacentral:rRNA from 1 species
AUACGGGGGGUGCAGGCGUUAAUCGGAAUUACUGGGCGUAAAGCGCGCGUAGGCGGUUUGCUCAGUCGGAUGUGAAAGCCCAGGGCUCAACCUUGGAACUGCAUACGAUACUGGCAAACUAGAGUGUGAGAGAGGAUAGUGGAAUUUCCGGUGUAGCGGUGAAAUGCGUAGAUAUCGGAAGGAACAUCAGUGGCGAAGGCGACUGUCUGGCUCAACACUGACGCUGAGGUGCGAAAGCGUGGGUAGCAAACAGGAUUAGAUACCCUAGUAGUCC